rnacentral:misc_RNA from 1 species
GUAGGUGAACCUGCGGAAGGAUCAUUAUUGAAAAAUCCUUAGGAUGUUGCUGGCCUUUCGGGGCAUGUGCACUCCGCCUUUUCAAUUCACCUGUGAACUCAUUGUAGGCUCAGAUGUAAAAAGUCUGAUGUCUAUGUUUUUUUUAUAUACCCCUUUAAAAAGUUUAACAGAAUGUCUAAUAGACCUUAUGGUCGAAAUAUAAAUUAAUACAACUUUCAACAAUGGAUCUCUUGGUUCUC